rnacentral:rRNA from 1 species
AACGAACGCUGGCGGUGCGUUUUAAGCAUGCAAGUCGAACGGCAAGAAGGUGCUUGCACUUUCCUAGAGUGGCGGACUGGUGAGUAACACGUGGGUGAUCUACCUUUAAGAUGGGGAUAGCUUUUAGAAAUAAGAGAUAAUACCGAAUACACUUACGAUGUUUUGACAUUGUAAGAAAAGGAGCGUUUGCUCCGCUUAAAGAUGAGCCUGCGUCCCAUUAGCUAGUUGGUGAGGUAAAGGCCCACCAAGGCGAUGAUGGGUAUCCGGCCUGAGAGGGUGACCGGACACAUUGGGACUGAGAUACGGCCCAAACUCCUACGGGAGGCAGCAGCUGAGAAUCUUCCGCAAUGGACGAAAGUCUGACGGAGCGACACCGCGUGAAUGAUGAAGGCCGAAAGGUUGUAAAAUUCUUUUGCAGACAAAGAAUAAGGAUAGUGGGAAAUAACUGUCUGAUGACGGUAGUUAUGCGAAUAAGCCCCGGCUAAUUACGUGCGGGGCGAGCGUUUUCGGAAUUAUUGGGCGUAAAGGGCAUGUAGGCGGUUUAAGCCUGUGUGAAUCUACGAGCUUAACUCGUAAAUGCAUUGGGUACUGCUUGAAUCAGAGGGGAACUGGAAUUCCAAGUGUAGGGGUGGAAUCUGUAGAUAUUUGGAAGAACACCGGUGGCGAAGGCGGGUUUCUAGCAUGAUUGACGCUAUGCGAAGGUGGGGGAGCAAACAGGAUUAGAUACCCUGGUAGUCCGCACAGUCAUGUACACUAGUGGGGGUAAGACUCAGUGGGCAAACGCAUAAGUGUACCGCCUGGGGAGUAUGCCCGCAAGGUGAAACUCAAAGGAAUUGACGGGGGCCCACACAAGCGGUGGAGCAUGUGGUUUAAUUCGAUGUACGCGAGGAACCUUACCUGGGUUUGACAUAAGGAUUAUAGAGAUAUGGUAGCGUAGAUACGCUUUACAGGUGCUGCAUGGCUGUCGUCAGCUCGUGCCGUGAGGUGUUGGGUAAGUCCCGCAACGAGCGCAACCCUACUGCCAGUUACUAACAGGUAAAGUGAGGACUCGGCGGAACUGCCGGUGAUAAACCGGAGGAAGGUGGGGAUGACGUCAAGUCAUCAUGGCCCUUAUGUCCAGGGCUACACACGUGCUACAAUGGUUGUUACAAAGUGAAGCGAACCGCGAGGUGAGCGAAUGCAAAAGCAAUCGUAGUCGAUUGGAAUCUGAAACCUGAUUCAUGAAGCUGGAAUCGCUAGUAAUCGCUAUCAGCACGAUGCGGUGAAUACGUUCCUGGGCCUUGUACACACCGCCCGUCACACCAUCCGAGUCGAGGUACCCAAGAGCUAGUCUAACGAGGGACGGUGGCGAAGGUACGUGGUAAGGAGGGUGAAGUCGUAAC